rnacentral:lncRNA from 1 species
CCCCGCCCAGCCCGCGGCCCGCACUCGGCGCGCCUGGCCCCGCCCCCCGCGGGCUUAACCCUCUAGCCGCUGGGCACGCGCGGGCUACCGGGGCGGAGGCGUACGGGGGCGGCGAGCGGGGCUCGGCUCCUCCUCGUCCCGCGCCAGCGCCGCGCCCGGCCGCAUUCUCGGGGCCCGAGGCUCAGCCGCUCGCGGUGGAGAAAGCAGGCCGCGGAGGAGGCGGGCGCCCAGGCCUGCCCGGACAGGAAGUGGGCCCAGCUUUCCCACUCCUCGCUCCGCUCCUUCCUCCGCGGGAAGGGCAGGCCCCGGAGGCAGCGAGCGCCCCGGGGGUGGCCGGGCAGCCGGAUGCUCCCGGGGUUGCGGGCUGUGGCCCCGGGGGCUGAGGGCGGCGCGGGUGCGGCGGAAGCAGGGAAGCCGCGAACCGGCCUUCUGGCUGGCCACAGCGCCCUGCACGGACGAUCAGUGAAUGGAGAUUACUCAAGUAUUUAUCGAGAACUUGCAGUGGGCUAGGCACAGUUCAGGUAGAUCAACAAACCGAAAGACCCUGCCCUAGGGGAGCUUUCGCUCCAAUGCGGGGAGAGGGUGGAUGAUUGCAGUUUUGCCCAGUAAUUUUUGGGACCCUCAUGCCACCAUUAAUUAGCUACACACAUUUCACCGAAAGUCUACCUUACAUAUUAAUCAGAAGAAGUGGAAGAAUAAACACAGAAGAAGCAAAAAAGGAAGGAACUUUCUCACUGAAAGUUUCUAUUUAAUAUUAAGUCUUAAAAGUACUCCUGGAAGGACAAAAGGUGUUCUUAAUAAAUUAUAUUCGCAAAUAUUGGAUUUAAUCCUACCAGUAAUGAAGCAGUCAGUUACUUUCUAGAUGUGCAGAAAUACGUAAUGAACAAAAAAAACUAAUUCCUAUUCCAUUUUUUAUUAGGUCCACAGUUAUUUCACUUCUAAAUAAAUAUGGUUUUUUAAAAGUGGCACGCGGUGGAAUGUAAUUGAGACAGGAUGGAGUUCCUAGAGAAAUUUUACUUCCUCAAUCUGCACUCCACCUUACUUAAAAUACAGUCUUGGGUCUGUAAUUCCCUUAUCUGACUCUCAAGGAAAUGACAAAGUAAUGCCUAGAUUGGACUAAACCUCAUUUAACUUCAAGGCUGACCUUUCUCAAAGUUGAACCUUCGUCUUGUGAGGAACAGAAAGAUCAAGAACUCUGAAGCACCUCGACUUUCCACCUGUGAAGAUGUGUUCAAAUUUGCAACGUGCGGCCACACCUAUGAGGUCACUCCCUCUGGAGGAAACCAGCUGCCACUUUGUGAGGAUACUCAUAGUCCUGUGGAGGCAUAUCCUCCAUAUGGCUGAGACCUCCUGCGAACAACCAUCACUGACUUGCCAGACAUGAGUGUGCCACCUUGGAAGCAGAUUUUCCAGCCCCAGUUAAGCCUUCAGAUGACAUCAGCCCCUGCUAAUCUCUUGACUACAACCUCAUGAGAGACCCUGAGCCAGAACUAGCCAGUGCUCCCUGGGAAGCACUGAUCUUGGAUUUGGCUGCUGUGUGGGAGACCAGUGUUCCUCUUAGCUGAUGGUGGAGACUCACGUCAGUGCAGGCUGCAGCGAUGACUCUCAAACUGUGAACAAUGCUCCCCAGUGUGUGCACGGGAGGGCCAGCAUAUGGAGACCUCGCGGAGAGCCAAACGCGGGCUCUCUGCACUUCCUUCAGUUUUGUUUAAAUACAGGAUCCGGUUUGCCUUUGUCACCCGCUGUAGCACCACCAGGCUUCAUUCACUGUGAAGCCUUGCCAGAUCUCUGUAAUAAAUUACCUGGGAGGCCAAGGCGGGAAAAGAGGAAAGAACAAGGUAAAGCGCUUUGAAAUCUGACUUUCUCCCUGGAGUGUUCAGUGUUGCCUAUUUAGAAGGUGCAGGGUUGUGCUAAGGUGUGUGCUGGGAGCUUUGUAGGCUAAAGUUUGUAGAAAAAGUUUGGUUCAUUUCAG